rnacentral:rRNA from 1 species
UGGGGAAUAUUGCACAAUGGGCGCAAGCCUGAUGCAGCCAUGCCGCGUGUGUGAAGAAGGCCUUCGGGUUGUAAAGCACUUUCAGCGAGGAGGGAGGUGGUGAGCUUAAUACGCUCAUCAAUUGACGUUACUCGCAGAAGAAGCACCGGCUAACUCCGUGCCAGCAGCCGCGGUAAUACGGAGGGUGCAAGCGUUAAUCGGAAUUACUGGGCGUAAAGCGCACGCAGGCGGUUUGUUAAGUCAGAUGUGAAAUCCCCGGGCUCAACCUGGGAACUGCAUUUGAAACUGGCAAGCUAGAGUCUCGUAGAGGGGGGUAGAAUUCCAGGUGUAGCGGUGAAAUGCGUAGAGAUCUGGAGGAAUACCGGUGGCGAAGGCGGCCCCCUGGACGAAGACUGACGCUCAGGUGCGAAAGCGUGGGGCAGCAAACAGGAUUAGAUACCCUGGUAGUCCACGCUGUAAAACGAUGUCGAUUUUGGAGGUUGUGCCCUUGAGGCGUGGCUUCCGGAGCUAACGCGUUAAAUCGACCGCCUGGGGAGUACGGCCGCAA